AUUGAACGCUGGCGGCAGGCCUAACACAUUCAAGUCGAGCGAGCGGCGGACGGGUGAGUAAUGUAUGGGGACUGCCCGAUAGAGGGGGAUAACUACUGGAAACGGUGGCUAAUACCGCAUACUAUCGGAUAACCCAUAUGGGAUUAGCUCGUAGGUGGGGUACAGGCUCACCUAGGCGACUAUCUCUAGCUGGUCUGAGCGGAUGAUCAGCCAGACUGGGACUGAGACAAGGCCCAGAAUCCUACGGAGGCAGGAGUGGGGAAUAUUGCACAAUGGGCGCAAGACUGAUGAAGCCACGCCGAGUGUAUGGAGAAGGCCUUAGGGUUGUAAAGUACUUUAAGCGGGGAGGCGUUACCCGCAGAAGAAGCACCGGCAAAAGCCGUGCGAGCAGCCGCGGUAAUAC
rnacentral:rRNA from 1 species